rnacentral:rRNA from 1 species
GUGCACGCUGGCGGUAGGCCUAACACAUGCAAGUCGAACGGCAGCACAGUAAGAGCUUGCUCUUACGGGUGGCGAGUGGCGGACGGGUGAGGAAUACAUCGGAAUCUACUUUUUCGUGGGGGAUAACGUAGGGAAACUUACGCUAAUACCGCAUACGACCUACGGGUGAAAGCAGGGGAUCUUCGGACCUUGCGCGAUUGAAUGAGCCGAUGUCGGAUUAGCUAGUUGGCGGGGUAAAGGCCCACCAAGGCGACGAUCCGUAGCUGGUCUGAGAGGAUGAUUAGGCCAAAUGGAACUGAGACACGGUCCAGACUCCUACGGGAGGCAGCAGUGGGGAAUAUUGGACAAUGGGCGCAAGCCUGAUCCAGCCAUACCGCGUGGGUGAAGAAGGCCUUCGGGUUGUAAAGCCCUUUUGUUGGGAAAGAAAAGCAGCAGGUUAAUACCCCGCUGUUCUGACGGUACCCAAAGAAUAAGCACCGGCUAACUUCGUG